UUAGUUUUUUUCUAUGGUUUUUGCGAAGUAUAAGUUUUGCGACUAGCAAUACACGGUCGUCGCGCGUCCGCGUACCUUAUUGUAAUGAACAAAAUGCAUUUACAUAAUUUCGCAUCAACCUAUGUGCAAUGUCCAGACGGGUGGAUGUCAAGGCUUAAGGGCAAUAGUAUCGCAAGUCAAAAAGUAUCAGAGAGAUACGGUUUUUUAAAGAAGUGUAAAAACCGUAUCUCUCUUUAGUGUUUUCUCUUUCAUAUUGAACAAAAUAAACAUUCUGACGAAAUAUUUCGUCUACUGCUGGACAUGGAUUUCCACAAAGACCGGUCCUACGCCGCCCGCAUCCAGUCACCCCCCGCGACCUUUACCAGUUCAUCAAUUAAUAUUUUAUGGGAAAAAUAAUACAGGCCAGUAAGGUACUCUGGUUUACUCAAUUAAAAUAAGCAAGCUCGAGAUGCGUCGACCGAACCUUAAGUCAUAACAUCACCUUACCUUGAACAGAUGUUAGCAUUCAAGCCGACUGUUUACAUACAAACUAUAGUAUGUUGUAUUAAGUAGGUAACCACAUCAAGUGUUCCUCGUACAUCUGAAUAUUUCCUUAUUUUGAUCACUCAUGUCAAACCUGUUGCAUAAUUUGCGCGUCCGAAAAUAAUUACAAGUUUAUAUUGAGCCAUUUCCAAAAAUGUUUAUCAGAAUAGGAUUUUUAUUGGUGAUAUUAGCAAGCAGUGAUGGUGUUUUAUACUCAAGUUUCUGGGCUCCACUGUUUAAUCCGAGGAUACUGAAUUACCGUGUGGAUGCUGCGAUGGACCCCGACGCGGGGAGAGGCAACAGAGAAGCUUAUGUGAAUAACUACGGCACGAGGGGCGAGAGGCUAAUCGCCGACCUCGGCAAUGGUAAAGGCCCCGCAGAUAUUCCACUGAUUGAUAAGGGAACUGAAGAUGUGAAGUUUUACUAUACAUACCCUGGAGCCAGACAAGACAGUAGGUGAUGAGAGUGUAUUUUAGAUACAAAGUGUAAGAGAACGUAAAUAAUACAUUAAAUAUUGGUAUUUC